AAGAGAAACACAUCUCUGAACAAGCAUGCAAUGGUAAAGCCCUAAAAACAGGGUAGCCGAAACCCAAUAUUAGGAUAUCGAAUUCUUAUCCCCAAACUAACCCAACUGCUCUCCUUUGCUAUGCACUGUACCAAUACAAACUACCUCCUUUUCUUCUACUCAAAUUUUGGCGAAAACCCUAAACCCUUCCCUCUAGUAUCUCGUUUUUUUUUUCGUAUUUUCUUUUCUUUUUUCUCCAUCUAUAUUUAGUCUGUUCCCUUUGCAGCCAAAAAUAGGACUAUACCCAGAAAUUCUGGAGUGAAGCCUAGCUUUUGCACUCUGGCUCUGAUACUGAGGUAUGCUGCUGAAUCUCAUGUUGGCUCAAUAGUAGAUUUUACACGUUGAUAGAAGUCCAUAGAUGGAGAUAGUUGAAUCAAUACUUGAUAUUCCAGUGCAAGAUCCACCAGAGGAGGAGUUCUCUUCUGCUGAUUUGAUUUGGACAAAGUUUGGCACAGCGGAGCACCAUGAUGAUGUAGCACUCAUUCCUUAUGCUCGAGUAGAUGAAUUUAUAAUCGGAGAAUGCUCCAAUGUAGAAUGCCCAACACGAUUUCAUAUUGAGAGGGGACGGAAACGAUCAAUGGGCAGUUUAAAGGAGUACAAGAGUGAUGAAUAUUUGGAAUAUAGACUAUAUUGGUGUUCCUUCGGUCCUGAAAAUUAUGGGGAAGGUGGAGGUGUAUUACCUAGUCGAAGAUACCGUCUAAACACCCGAAAUCGGGCUGCUAGACCUCAAUCCAUGAGAGGAUGCACAUGCCAUUUUGUAGUGAAACGUCUUUAUGCUCGUCCAGCGCUUGCACUUAUUAUAUUCAAUGAGAGACGCCAUAUAAACAAGUCUGGUUUUGUUUGCCAUGGGCCCCUUGAUAAAGAUGCCAUUGGCCCUGGUGCUAAGAAAAUUCCAUAUAUUUCCAAUGAGAUUCAACAACAAACAAUGUCCAUGAUCUAUCUGGGUAUUCCUGAAGAAAACGUGCUAGAGAAACACAUUGAGUAUGUUCAACGGUAUGGUGGUUCAGAUGCGACAGUUAGUACCCUUGCUUCCCAAUAUGUCCGCAAACUUGGCAUGAUCAUUAAGAGGUCAACCCACGAGUUAGAUUUAGAUGAUCAAGCUAGCAUUCGGAUGUGGGUUGAACGCAAUAAGAAAUCUAUAUUUUUCUAUCAGGACACUUCUGAGACAGAUCCUUUCAUUCUUGGGAUUCAAACAGAAUGGCAGUUGCAACAGAUGGUUCGUUUUGGCCAUCGCAGUCUCAUAGCAGCUGAUUCAACAUUUGGUAUUAAAAGACUCAAGUACCCUUUAUGCACUCUUCUUGUAUUUGAUUCAAGACAACAUGCAUUACCUGUUGCAUGGGUCAUUACCCGCAGUGUUGCAAAGCCAGAUGUGGCUAAAUGGAUGAAAGCACUGCUUGAUCGAGCUCGGAGCGUAGAUCCUGGAUGGAAGAUCAAUGGUUUUGUGAUUGAUGAUGCAGCCAUGGAGAUUGAUCCCAUAAGGGAUGCUUUUUGUUGUCCUAUCCUAUUUUCAAUUUGGCGUGUUCGUGGAUCCUGGUUGAGGAAUGUUGUUAAGAAAUGUUCCAACAUUGAAGUUCAGCGGGAAAUUUUUAAGCGCCUGGGAGAAAUAGUUUACAGCAUUUGGGGUGGCUUAGACACUUCAGUUGCCUUGGAAGAAUUAAUUCUUGAUUUUGUCGAUCAAUCUGCCUUCAUGGAGUAUUUCAAAUCCACUUGGGUGCCUAAAAUUGAAAUGUGGCUUUCAACAAUUAAAACUUUCCCACUUGCAAGCCAGGAGGCAUCUGGUGCCAUAGAAGCCUACCAUGUGAAGCUGAAAACAAAAUUGUUUGAUGAUUCACAUCUUGGUGCACUUCAGAGGGUUGACUGGUUAGUACACAAGCUAACAACUGAGUUGCAUUCAGCGUAUUGGCUUGACCGGUAUGCAGAUGAAAGUGAUUCUUUUCAACAUGUCAAGGAAGAAUACAUUGCAUCUACAUCUUGGCACCGAGCGCUGCAAAUUCCGGAUUCCGCUGUUACAUUAGAUGAUAAGGGCCACCUAUUUGCAAAGGUAGCAAGUCAGAAAGACAGCAGCAGAACACAUUUGGUUUGGAACCCAGGAUCAGACUUUGCUUUCUGCGACUGUGCAUGGUCAAUGCAAGGAAACUUUUGCAAGCACGUCAUCAAGGUCAAUAUGAUCUGUGAAAAUGCCAAAGGCUGCAGACCUUCCAUGUCUUUUUGGUCAUUCAGGGAGAUAUUGAUCGAUCUUUGCAAGAGACCAAUGGAUGACUCAAUCGGAUUAGAUGAGUCAGUUGCCUGGACCCACCAGAUGCUUGAUCAAAUCAAACAACUUGUUGAAUUAAAUAGUUCAAAUGAUAUUGGCAUUGUGGUAAAUAAUAUGCCAUUGAAAUGGAUCUCUAAGAAGGGAAGAACAUUUGUUGGUAUACCAGCUUCACUUCCAGCUCUUCCAUCUGAUUCCAAGACCAUCACAAAGAAUGUGCAGAAGAGUCGGAAAAGGAAGAGGUUAUCAAGAUUAAGAUGAUCAUUGAAGUUGGUUUAUACUGGCCAGCAUUUAGCUAACUUCAAACCCUAUGGGUGGGGUGCGCUCUGUUUGAAACUAUUGUCCAUUUCCAUGUUGGAUAACGUCAACUUCAUUGCUUGAAGCAUGAGAAGCAAAGCUAUUCUUUAAAUAGUACUGUACUUUGCUGCCUCCAAAAAUGGAUUUUGAUGGAAACAAUUUGUCCAUCAUUUUGCGCAUGCCGAUGUAUUCAUUUCAGAGGAAGAUUCCACAUAUUCAUGUUCGUUCCAGCGUUCAUAUUGGGGGAUGUCUUAAGGCCAACAUCUUGAGAAGGGAGAUGAUCUAGAGGGUCCACCCGACUAAAGAAUAGCAGAAUUUAGAGUAGUUGGUCUUGAUGUCAUUUGAUUAAAGCCACUGAAGUAGCCAAGCAGAGACGGAGAUGGGUUUAAGGGAUUCAAAGCCGAACGAAAGGGAGGAUCCAAACCAGACUGCUCGUGCAAAGUGACAUUCAAGAAGAAAAUGUUUUGGUGUUUCCAUACAGGUCAUACAUAAGGGACGAAAGUUAUCAGAUAUAAAAAGCGCUUUCAGAAAAAAUCCUUAAUAGGAAGGCAAUUAUUGCAGUUUUAAUCCAUGCUUUAUGGAAAGUCGGGUCUGGUAGAGUGUGAAGUUUCCGAUUGCCAUAGCAGCAAGUAAACAUUCUUAUCAAAGAACAUGCCAUGAAUCGUGUUUCCAAACAAUUGUCUUUUACCAUGAUAAAUUGAGAGAGUAUUUCAAAACAAUCUUGUCCUUACCACAUUGAAUUAAGAGAGGUUGGAGACGAGAAUUUCGAAGGUCUUUCUAUAGUCUUAAACAUUCGAACGGAGAUUGACACUAUUGAGCUUGAGAGGUCGAAUCAUUUGUUAUAGGUAAAUGAAGUGACUGUUUAAAACGUUCAGAGACAUUACAUU